rnacentral:tRNA from 1 species
GGACAGGUGGCAGAGCGGUUGAAUGCACCGGUCUUGAAAACCGGCAAGGGUGUAAGCCCUUCGUGGGUUCGAAUCCCACCCUGUCCGCCA